rnacentral:rRNA from 1 species
CGGCGACCGGCGCACGGGUGAGUAACACGUAUGCGACCUGCCCGUAGCAGGGGGAUAAGCGGAAGAAAUUCCGUCUAAUACCGCGUAAUAUCUUUCGGGGGCAUUCCUGAGGGAUUAAAGGAAGCGAUUCCGGCUACGGAUGGGCAUGCGGCGCAUUAGCUAGUCGGCGGGGUAACGGCCCACCGAGGCGACGAUGCGUAGGGGUUCUGAGAGGAAGGUCCCCCACACUGGUACUGAGACACGGACCAGACUCCUACGGGAGGCAGCAG